rnacentral:rRNA from 1 species
AUUGAACGCUGGCGGCAUGCCUUACACAUGCAAGUCGAACGGUAACAGGUCUUCGGAUGCUGACGAGUGGCGAACGGGUGAGUAAUACAUCGGAACGUGCCCGAUCGUGGGGGAUAACGAAGCGAAAGCUUUGCUAAUACCGCAUAAGAUCUACGGAUGAAAGCAGGGGACCGCAAGGCCUUGCGCGAACGGAGCGGCCGAUGCAGAUUAGGUAGUUGGUGGGAUAAAAGCUUACCAAGCCGACGAUCUGUAGCUGGUCUGAGAGGACGACCAGCCACACUGGGACUGAGACACGGCCCAGACUCCUACGGGAGGCAGCAGUGGGGAAUUUUGGAUAAUGGGCGAAAGCCUGAUCCAGCCAUGCCGCGUGCAGGAUGAAGGCCUUCGGGUUGUAAACUGCUUUUGUACGGAACGAAAAGACUCUUUCUAAUAAAGAGGGUCCAUGACGGUACCGUAAGAAUAAGCACCGGCUAACUACGUGCCAGCCGCCGCCGUAAAAC